AAUUCCCGUUGAUCCUGCGGGAGAGUACUGCUAGUGAGAUUCCACUUAGUCAUGCAAGUCAAUCCGAAAGGGUGGCGGAAGGCUCCGUAACACGUCAAUAAUCUGCCCUAAGGUUCGGGACAACCUCGCGAAAGUGAGGCUAAACCCGGAUAGAAGAAAGAUACUGGAAGGUUCCUUCUUCGAAACGCAAGGCCUUAGGAUGAGUUGGCGGCAGAUUA
rnacentral:rRNA from 1 species